rnacentral:tRNA from 1 species
UGGUGCAGUGGUUAAGCACUUGGCUGCUAACCAAAUGUUAGUGGUUCGUAUCCACU